rnacentral:rRNA from 1 species
AGAGUUUGAUCCUGGCUCAGAUUGAACGCUGGCGGCAGGCUUAACACAUGCAAGUCGAGCGCACGUAGCAAUACGUGAGCGGCAGACGGGAGAGUAACACGUGGGAACGUACCCUUCGGUUCGGAAUAACUCAGGGAACUUGAGCUAAUACCGGAUACGUCCGAAAGGAGAAAGAUUUAUCGCCGAAGGAUCGGCCCGCG